UGGGGGGAUAUUGCACAAUGGGGGAAACCCUGAUGCAGCAAUGCCGCGUGAGGGAAGAAGGUCUUCGGAUUGUAAACCUAAGUUGUCAGGGACGAAACAAAUGACGGUACCUGAAAAGAAAGCUCCGGCUAACUACGUGCCAGCAGCCGCGGUAAUACGUAGGGAGCGAGCGUUGUCCGGAUUUACUGGGUGUAAAGGGUGCGUAGGCGGGUUUGCAAGUCAGGCGUGAAAUACCGAGGCUCAACUUCGGAGCUGCGCUUGAAACUGUAGAUCUUGAGUGAAGUAGAGGCAAGCGGAAUUCCUAGUGUAGCGGUGAAAUGCGUAG
rnacentral:rRNA from 1 species